rnacentral:lncRNA from 1 species
AGCAUCAAACAGCUACCAAAAAAUGUGAAUUCAAAAUGUGUUUCUCCCUUUAUUUUUUUCUUUCAGGGAAAUCCUGAGGGGUUUGACACUUUUCAUCCUCCAGCCAUUAAUCAUUUUGUAGAGAAAGGCUAUAUAUUGGUGGGAAUAAAAACAAGCAGUUCCUGGCCGGUGAUACUGCAGUUAAGGGUGUCUGACAGACAGCAUGUUGGCACCAGCAUUGAAGGAAGUGAUGGGCUUUCGCUCCAGGUGAGUACAGUUCUCCAAGAUACAAUGGGUGCAUCUUUCUGAUUUUUACCCAUGGGACUCAGAAGAAAACU